AUACGGAGGGUGCAAGCGUUGUCCGGAUUUAUUGGGUUUAAAGGGUGCGUAGGUGGUUUUUUAAGUCAGUGGUGAAAGCCUACAGCUUAACUGUAGAGGUGCCAUUGAUACUGGGGAACUUGAGUAUGGACGAGGUAGGCGGAAUUUGUGGUGUAGCUGUGAAAUGCAUAGAUACCACAAGGAACACCGAUAGCGAAGGCAGCUUACUGGGCCAUAACUGACACUGAGGCACGAAAGCGUGGGGAGCGAACAGGAUUAGAAACCCUAGUAGUCC
rnacentral:rRNA from 1 species